rnacentral:rRNA from 1 species
AGAGUGUGAUCCUGGCUCAGAACGAACGUUGGCGGCGUGGAUUAGGCAGUGCAAGUCGAACGAAUCCCUUGGGGGUAACUCUGAGGGGGAAGUGGCGGUAAGGGGUUGAGUAAGGCGACGGCAACCAAACCCCAUGGGUUGGGGUAGAGCCCGCGGGGAAACUGCGGGGUAAAUUCCCAGCGAUGAUGUUCGCGUCGGGCAUCCGGUUCCAACCCAAAUUUCCGCCCCCUGGGAACGGCCCUUCUUGUUUUAAGGUCUUGGCCGGGGUAUUGGCCCCCCAAGCCUCUGAUCCCUACCGGGCGUGCGAGCGUGGCCCCGGCACACUGGGACUGAGACACUGCCCAGACUCCUACGGGAGGCUGCAGUCGAGAAUCUUCGGCAAUGGGCGCAAGCCUGACCGAGCGACGCCGCGUGGAGGAUGACCGCCUCGGGAUUGUACA